rnacentral:SRP_RNA from 1 species
UUGUGAUAAAAUAAUCCGGAAGAAAAAAAUGAAUAAAAUCGUCCUUUGACAGCUUCGUCUGUGUGGUUCGGGUCCUGCGCAAUAAGACGCUGUGAACCUUGUCAGGUCCGGAAGGAAGCAGCAAUAAGCGGAUGUUCUUAUGUGCCGCAGAUCAGCCUUUUCCAUAUCCGGCGGGGCUGUCAAAGGGCGAUUUUCAUUA